rnacentral:rRNA from 1 species
CGGCGUGCCUAACACAUGCAAGUCGAACGGGGUCAGUUGCUUCGGUGAUUGACUUAGUGGCGAACGGGUGAGUAACGCGUGAGGAACCUGCCUUUCAGUGGGGGACAACAGUUGGAAACGACUGCUAAUACCGCAUAAUGCAGCUAGACCGCAUGGUCUUGCUGCCAAAGCUUUAUGUGCUGAAAGAUGGCCUCGCGUCUGAUUAGCUAGUUGGUGGGGUAACGGCUCACCAAGGCGACGAUCAGUAGCCGGUCUGAGAGGAUGAACGGCCACAUUGGGACUGAGAUACGGCCCAGACUCCUACGGGAGGCAGCAGUGGGGAAUAUUGGGCAAUGGGGGAAACCCUGACCCAGCAACGCCGCGUGAAGGAAGAAGGCCUUCGGGUUGUAAACUUCUUUUACCAGGGACGAAGAACGUGACGGUACCUGGAGAAAAAGCAACGGCUAACUACGUGCCAGCAGCCGCGGUAAUACGUAGGUUGCAAGCGUUGUCCGGAUUUACUGGGUGUAAAGGGCGUGUAGGCGGAGAUGCAAGUUGGGAGUGAAAUCCCGGGACUCAACCCCGGAACUGCUCUCACAACUGUAUCCCUUGAGUAUCGGAGAGGCAAGCGGAAUUCCUAGUGUAGCGGUGAAAUGCGUAGAUAUAUGGAGGAACACCAGUGGCGAAGGCGACGUUCUGGGCCGCAACUGACGCUCAGUCCCGAAAGCGUGGGGAGCAAAUAGGAUUAGAUACCCUAGUAGUUCACGCCGUAAACGAUGAGUACUAAGUGUUGGGGGUCAGACCCCAGUGCUGGAGUUAACGCAAUAAGUACUCCGCCUGAGUAGUACGUUCGCAAGAAUGAAACUCAAAGGAAUUGACGGGGGCCCGCACAAGCGGUGGAGUAUGUGGUUUAAUUCGAAGCAACGCGAAGAACCUUACCAGGUCUUGACAUACCGUCAAAUGUCCCAGAGAUGGGAAGAUAGCUAUGGCGGAUACAGGUGGUGCAUGGUUGUCGUCAGCUCGUGUCGUGAGAUGUUGGGUUAAGUCCCGCAACGAGCGCAACCCCUGUUGCCAGUUGCCAGCAUUAGGUUGGGGACUCUGGCGAGACUGCCUCUGCAAGGAGGAGGAAGGCGGGGAUGACGUCAAAUCAUCAUGCCCCUUAUGACCUGGGCUACACACGUGCUACAAUGGACGGAUCAGAGGGAAGCGAAAUCGCGAGAUGGAGCGAAACCCAGAAACCCGUUCUCAGUUCGGACUGCAGUCUGCAACUCGACUGCACGAAGCUGGAAUCGCUAGUAAUCGCGAAUCAGAAUGCCGCGGUGAAUACGUUCUCGGGCCUU